rnacentral:rRNA from 1 species
GAGAGUUUGAUCCUGGCUCAGGACGAACGCUGGCGGCGUGCCUAAUACAUGCAAGUCGAACGCUUCUUUUUCCACCGGAGCUUGCUCCACCGGAAAAAGAGGAGUGGCGAACGGGUGAGUAACACGUGGGUAACCUGCCCAUCAGAAGGGGAUAACACUUGGAAACAGGUGCUAAUACCGUAUAACAAUCGAAACCGCAUGGUUUUGAUUUGAAAGGCGCUUUCGGGUGUCGCUGAUGGAUGGACCCGCGGUGCAUUAGCUAGUUGGUGAGGUAACGGCUCACCAAGGCGACGAUGCAUAGCCGACCUGAGAGGGUGAUCGGCCACAUUGGGACUGAGACACGGCCCAAACUCCUACGGGAGGCAGCAGUAGGGAAUCUUCGGCAAUGGACGAAAGUCUGACCGAGCAACGCCGCGUGAGUGAAGAAGGUUUUCGGAUCGUAAAACUCUGUUGUUAGAGAAGAACAAGGAUGAGAGUAACUGUUCAUCCCUUGACGGUAUCUAACCAGAAAGCCACGGCUAACUACGUGCCAGCAGCCGCGGUAAUACGUAGGUGGCAAGCGUUGUCCGGAUUUAUUGGGCGUAAAGCGAGCGCAGGCGGUUUCUUAAGUCUGAUGUGAAAGCCCCCGGCUCAACCGGGGAGGGUCAUUGGAAACUGGGAGACUUGAGUGCAGAAGAGGAGAGUGGAAUUCCAUGUGUAGCGGUGAAAUGCGUAGAUAUAUGGAGGAACACCAGUGGCGAAGGCGGCUCUCUGGUCUGUAACUGACGCUGAGGCUCGAAAGCGUGGGGAGCAAACAGGAUUAGAUACCCUGGUAGUCCACGCCGUAAACGAUGAGUGCUAAGUGUUGGAGGGUUUCCGCCCUUCAGUGCUGCAGCUAACGCAUUAAGCACUCCGCCUGGGGAGUACGACCGCAAGGUUGAAACUCAAAGGAAUUGACGGGGGCCCGCACAAGCGGUGGAGCAUGUGGUUUAAUUCGAAGCAACGCGAAGAACCUUACCAGGUCUUGACAUCCUUUGACCACUCUAGAGAUAGAGCUUCCCCUUCGGGGGCAAAGUGACAGGUGGUGCAUGGUUGUCGUCAGCUCGUGUCGUGAGAUGUUGGGUUAAGUCCCGCAACGAGCGCAACCCUUAUUGUUAGUUGCCAUCAUUUAGUUGGGCACUCUAGCAAGACUGCCGGUGACAAACCGGAGGAAGGUGGGGAUGACGUC